CAUGCAGUCGAACGGCAGCACAGAAGAGCUUGCUCUUUGGGUGGCGAGUGGCGGACGGGUGAGUAACACGUAGGAAUCUACCCAGUAGUGGGGGAUAACCUGGGGAAACCCAGGCUAAUACCGCAUACGCCCUGAGGGGGAAAGCGGGGGAUCUUCGGACCUCGCGCUAUUGGAUGAGCCUGCGUCGGAUUAGCUAGUUGGUGGGGUAAGGGCCCACCAAGGCGACGAUCCGUAGCUGGUCUGAGAGGAUGACCAGUCACACCGGAACUGAGACACGGUCCGGACUCCUACGGGAGGCAGCAGUGGGGAAUAUUGGACAAUGGGCGCAAGCCUGAUCCAGCCAUGCCGCGUGGGUGAAGAAGGCCUUCGGGUUGUAAAGCCCUUUAGGUGGGGAGGAAGGCAUUCAUGCUAAUACCAUGGAUGAUUGACGUUACCCACAGAAUAAGCACCGGCUAACUCCGUGCCAGCAGCCGCGGUAAUACGGAGGGUGCAAGCGUUAAUCGGAAUUACUGGGCGUAAAGCGCACGUAGGCGGUUUGACAAGUGGGAUGUGAAAGCCCUGGGCUCAACCUGGGAACUGCAUCCCAAACUGUCAGGCUAGAGUAUGGUAGAGGGGGGCGGAAUUCCCGGUGUAGCGGUGAAAUGCGUAGAGAUCGGGAGGAACAUCAGUGGCGAAGGCGGCCCCCUGGACUGAUACUGACGCUGAGGUGCGAAAGCGUGGGGAUCAAACAGGAUUAGAUACCCUGGUAGUCCACGCUGUAAACGAUGAGAACUGNNGUCGGGGCCCUUCGGGGUUUGGUGGCGUAGCUAACGCGCUAAGUUCUCCGCCUGGGGAGUACNGGCCGCNAAGGCUAAAACUCAAAUGAAUUGACGGGGNCNGCACAAGCGGNGGAGCAUGUGGUUUAAUUCGAUGCAACGCGAAGACCUUACCUGCCCNNGACAUCCUCGGAACUUGUCANAGAUGACUUGGNGCNUCGGGANCGANANACNGNNGCUGCAUGGNUGUCGUCAGCUCGNGNCNUGANAUGUGG
rnacentral:rRNA from 1 species